rnacentral:lncRNA from 1 species
CAGCUUCAGGCUCCCCAUGGGAGAGCACAUUUCAGCGAGUAGCCUACGAAGACCUGCUUCAAGCAACCAACGGGUUCUCCGCUGCCAAUUUAAUUGGUUCAGGUAGUUUUGGAUCUGUGUAUAAAGGAAUCCUCAAGACAGAUGGAGCAGCUGUUGCAACUGUUGCAGUGAAAGUAUUCAACCUGCUACGUGAAGGAGCUUCCAAGAGUUUCAUGGCGGAAUGUGCAGCCUUGGUAAACAUCAGGCACCGAAAUCUUGUAAAAGUUUUAACAGCAUGUUCUGGCAUUGAUUUUCAAGGUAAUGAUUUUAAAGCUCUAGUUUAUGAGUUCAUGGUGAACGGGAGUCUAGAAGAGUGGUUGCAUCCUGUUCGAAUAUCUGACGAGGCACACAGGCGAAGAGAUUUGAGUCUCCUUCAGCGCUUGAACAUCGCAAUUGACGUGGCUAGUGCACUUGAUUAUUUGCACAACCAUUGCCAGAUUGCCGUUGUUCAUUGCGAUCUGAAGCCAAGCAAUGUCCUUCUGGAUGGUGAUCUGACUGCUCAUGUUGGUGACUUUGGAUUAGCAAGGCUCCUCACACAAGCUUCCCAUCAGCCCGGUUUGGAUCAGACAAGCUCCAUUGGUUUAAAAGGCACCAUUGGCUAUGCAGCCCCAGGUCACAAUAGAAUAAAUCCUUCCUUCCUCUAUUUACUCGUUCUGAUUUUAUUUCCGUUUACAAUCUUGGUCUGACUCCAAGGAAUUGAUUUUAGCAUCCCUAGGUAACAUACAGGAAUUUCCCAUUAUUAAUUUCAAAUUUAAUCUUCUUUUGCAUAUUCUUUGUUUUUCAUUAUGGGAAGAACUUUAGCAUCUUGAUCAAUGAAGAAACAAGGUAGCUGUAUAAUGAAAUACAUGUGCAAUAUCUUUGGCAGUCUCAGCUUCCUAAUGCCAAGCUAGUAAAACACCACAGCACUGCCAUAUUUUGUAUUGAUUUACAGCAGAUGAUGAAUUCUGAAUUUUAGAAUAUCUUACUCGUUUGUUUGCUAAUAUCCUAGUCUCUAAACCCAAAAACUACGGGAUUAAUUAUAACCCUUGUACAUGACCGCAGAGUAUGGCAUGGGAAGCGAGGUAUCGACUUUCGGGGAUGUGUACAGCUAUGGAAUCUUGUUGCUGGAGAUGUUUACAGGAAAGAGACCUACAGAUACCAUGUUUAAAGAUGAGAUGAAUCUUCACAACUUCGCUAAGAUGGCUUCGCCGAAUCGCGUGACAGAGAUAUUGGACCCAGCACUUGUGAGAGAAGCUGAGGAAACAAGUGCUGAUCACGCCUCUACCUCAAGUGCAAGAAACCAUAACGGGACUGAGAAAAUCAUGGAGUGUUUGGUUUUAAUUAUUAAGGUAGGAGUUGCUUGCGCUGUAGAAUCACCGAGAGAGAGGAUAGAUAUUAGCAAUGUUGCAACUGAAUUGUAUCGGAUUAGGAAGAUUCUUAUUGGAACUGGGAGGCAUGGACGCCUCACUUCGUGAAAUUAUUGUUGCAUCUGAAGGUAAUUAACGUUCUUUCAUCCAAUUAUUUUGUGCUUUCGUUCUGCGUUAUUUUCUAUAGAUAAAUUUUCACUGUCAAACACUACCUCAAAUAAAUUUAAUUCAUAGAUAAAAUGUGUCGUCUCUUCUCUUGAAGUGAGGAUUUGUAAUUUGUGAUGCAAUGAUUUGAAAUAAAUAUAAUUUCCUUUUCCUUUGAAUUUUCUUGUUUUCCAUUAUUUUACUAGCAAGUCGUGUGCUUCAAGAGUUGAUUCUUUUAAUCCUUCACCUAUUCUUAGUAUCUCUUGUUGUUCUUUGGAAACUAAAUGCAUCUUGUUGCCUCUCAACAGCCAACAACGGACAAUUUACAUUAGGAAUCCGUAUUUAGGAGAAACUACAAAUGAGUCCCUCAACUAUAUACGUUAUUUCAAUUAAAUCUUUGAACUUCAAACCAAAUAUCCAGCUUAGAUAAGUGAUACUGUCAUUAAAGCGUCCAAAGCACAAACUAUGAUCCAGUAGUUUAGCUUUCAAAGCUGUAAAGCUUCGAUCCCAAAAAAUAUUUGCACGCAAAACAGUGGCAGCGAUCAGCAGUUCGUGAGAAGAAACAGCCAAUGGGUGAAAAGAAGGAUCCAAAACGCAGCAGUGGCCCAGCAGGUAAAAAAUAAAAUAGAGUUUCGAGAUUGACAUCAUUAUUGACUAUGAUGUUCGCAACAGUCACAAUAAAAUUAUUCGUUUUCGAGAUUCAAGAAUUAUCAUGACCUAUUUAUUUAGAUACAGAUAAGAUAAUUUCAUGCUAACAGGUCUUGGCGAGCAAGCAUCUUUCCUUUCCAAGAUGGAAUUCAUGUCAAAUGUUUUUUUGACAGUCCAGCUCGGCCAUCCUUCAGGUUCUCUUCUUUCAAUCUUGGCUGAUAAAUUAAUUUGCCUUGUGCCAAUCAACUUCUUCAACUGGGAUGGAAUAUUUGCACUGAAUCUAUAAAAAAUAUGGUGGCUAAAUCACUAUCCUAGUCUCUCUAUCAAACAUGAUGAGUGCAAAUUGCAGGAUCACUUGCAAAACUGGCUUUGACCCCUACCCAGAACCUAGCUAGGAUAAUAAAAAAGAAUAAACCCAUCACUUUUUAUGUAUUGUCAUGAAUAUGAUAAAACCAACCUAGAGAGUAGUUGUUUCUUACAAUGCUAUGUAAAAAGACUGGAAAUCACCAAGAUUUUGUACCUGGUCUGUAGCAAAAUAGAAUUUUUAUUUGUUUCUUCUUGCAAUCCUCGCAAGAAAAAAAGCACGCAAGGAAAGAAUCUACACAAGGAAAAUGGUCACUUUGGCUAUCUUUCGUAUCCAUUUGACCAAUCCAAAACAAUAGAAGAGUUGGAAAAGCCAAUUAAUCAGCAGCCAAGAGCCCAAAGUAAUACUAUCUUGAUAGUCAAACUGACCUAUCUUGCCAACAACAUCAGUAGAAGCUGCUGAAGAACAGACUUCUAUUAUCACAAAAUUUGUAAUUCUAUAACAGGGCCUGGGCGCAAUGCCAAUUCAUUUGAAAGGAUUUCAUAGCUUCUUUAGAUAAUGCAAGUAAUCAUGAAUGUGGUUCUACGCUAUUGAAAUUAGGAGCUAAGAAACCAAUAGCAUCAUAUGAAAAUUUAAUUGAUCAGGGAAACAUGGCAUGAAAAUUGAGUCAAAAGAUUUAACAAACACAACUCUUUUAAAGAGGUCUUCACCUGAGAAUGGGAGCUAUUGAGGCAGCAUCUUAUUUGCUGAAAUUGUGGGACUGUGAUCUUUAGAAGCUCAUCCAUAACAAUCAUCUCUAAUAUUUCUUCUAGCUCACUUGUAAACAUACAUCAAUAUAUACAGAUAUAAGUACUUUCACCUGUCUUUCAACCUCAGCAUCUGCCAUGACAUAAAAAAAAUGGAUAUCUGAACCCUACCAGAAUAAAUUUUCCUGCAAAAUCAUCAAUGACCAAAUGAAAUUCAAAAUCAAUAACCAAUCGUGAAAUGAAUUGUGCACAAAAAAGGCACAUAUAUUAACCUAUAGCAACUGGAAACAAUCCCAUACACUGCCAAGGUCUGGUUCAACCGGCUAAAACAUCUAACAACAGGGUAAAAGACACCACUCAAGAAAGUUUAAGUUCAGAUUCAGAAAGGAGAGGAAAGAAACUUGAAUCAGCUCUAAAAUUGAAAGAAACAAAUAAGGAACAGGUCUAAGAGGUGAUCAAAGCAGGGUGAAAGCGCACCUGAAUGGAAGCGAAACCUAACAAAUAGACAAAGCAAAAUAAAAAGAGAAUUUGGUCCUACAAAACACAGUAAAACGCAACAAACAAAAGCCAUCGAAUACACAAAUCAGUUGGAAAACAAAUACCAAGCAACAAGUUGAAGAACCCAGAGCACUUUGAAGAGACAACUGAAGUGAAAAAGAAAUGAUAAAGAACCCGGCCUCAACUCAGUAACGCAGAUAACGCGACAAGCAAUUUCAUGAGAAGACAGCCACUGAAGUAGUUUAAUCAUUGCAAAACAAACUAUAAACAGUUCAAAUUCACUUAUCUGGUUGGACCCCGGCUGUGAACGACCGAAAGCAGAUAGAAAGAGGGCUGGGUGAAAGCAAAGAUGGCGAAGAAUCUGUCAAAUCUUUGGUUUAGACAGUCCCAAACGAGCUUACCAGCAAAAAAAAUGCAAAACCCUAGAGAUCGUAGAGCCAACGAAGAGGAGAUGCAUAGACAGUGCAUUUAAGGUCAUAAAACCCAAAGACCAGGCCAGCUGGUUAACGAAGGGAGAAGAAAGAAGGGCAUGAUGGAAAACCACACAGCCACACCAAAACCCAGGCAACAGAGAAGAAGAAGCGAGUGGAAAGAACCUUGAAGAUCCUACUUAAGUAUAUUUUAUUUUAAAAUAUAUUAAAAUAAUUUUUUUUUAUUUUUUAAAAUUUAUUUUAAUAUUAACACAUUAAAAUAAUAUAAAAAAAGCAAAAAUAUUGAGAUGACACAAAAGUUGUUUUUUUCUGAAAAUAUAUAUUAAAAUACUAUCUUUAAAAUUUUAAAUUUUUAAUAUUAAUAUUAAUAUGUUAAAAUUAUGAAUAAUUAAAAAAAUAUUAAUUUAAUAUUUUUAAAUCAAGAAUAUUUUAAUAAAAAAACAUAGAAAGAUAAAAAGCAAAAACAACACAAAAGCCGAAGAACUAUUGAAGUCCGCUAGGAGAGUGUGUUCACAGCAUUUCACCCCCGCCUCCUAUUUUUUUUUAAUUAUUAAUGUUAAUUGUUAAUAAUUGUUAAUGCUACUGAACUUAUUACACGGGUUAUGCCUACCACGUCAGCCUAUAGACUAAAUCAAUCAAAAUCUGAUACGUCAAUUACAAUUUUUCCCUCCAACUAAAGCAUGUGAAACAUCGACCUUAAAAUUUCAUUAUACACAAUUCUUACAUACAAUUAUUAGGAGAUUUAAUUACUGAGAUGUUUAAUUGAAUUGUUUUGGGUUUUUUUUUUCUCUUCUCCAUACCGGUUUCUCAAUUUAAUUUUUAUUUUGCUUCAGAAAUUUUUAUAAAGAUGGAUCGAAACAAAGUUUUUGAAUUGGUGGUUGGUGAAGCUUUACGAGUCCCAAGCAAUCUUGAAGUUACUGACCAAAUUGGAGAUGGUUUUACUGUUGCAAGGCAUGAAAAUAAGGAAUUGAGAAUUUUGCUCGGUGAAGUCGUGAGCUACGAGAAAAAAAGGGUGUUUUUAUUUUUAUUUUUAUGUUAUCACAUUUUAAAAAAUUAAUUUAUAAAAUAACAUAGAAAAAAAAUAAUUAAAAAUUUAACACGGUUGAGAGAAUUUAAAAUGACAUCUAUGAUUUUUUUAAUAGGAGUAUUCAGGGACAGUUUAUUCUACCAUUAACUAUCCAUUUAAAAAAUAACAAUUCACAUAAUCACAAAUAAUCAGUUUUCUACCUUUAAAACACAAUUCAUAUAAACAUCAUAUAAUAUAUUAAAUCACAAAUAACAAAAGUUGUUAUAAGUAUUUUAGACUGAAAUAUAUCACUUCCAAGAUAAAAAAGAGAUAUUAGGUAUGAUUUUAGAGUUGCCGCAUCAAUAAGUAUUUUAAUCGGAACUCUUGGAGGUUAUAAUACAUCAAAACUAAAAAAUUCUUCAAUCUUUUUUUCUACUCUCCGCAAAAUAUUUAUCACUUCUAAACAAAUUAUUUGCACUAUAAUUAAAACAGGCAAGUUAUAAAUAAUUUUUAAAACAUCAUUAAAACAUCCCAACACAUUCGUGGUUAUAUUAUUAUAAUGAUGACCCUCGUAAUCAUAGGACAAUGCCUUUUUUUUUUUUUAACAUCUAGCUAUGCUCUAAUCGUAUUAUCUAUCUCCACUAACUCCUCAUGUAAAAAUGUCAAACUCCUAAUUUUUUAAAUAAACAAGAAAAACGUCUCACGGCAUAUAUAUAUAUAUAUAUUGGAACUUUUUAUAGUAUAACACCAGUGCAGGACAAACAUCCUCCUUUACUUCAUGCUUCAAUAUUUUUAUAAACAAGGUAGGAUUUUGACACUUGCUUUCCGACAAAUCGAGUGUUUUCUCGUGCCGUAGACGUAGUUUGCUGGAUCAAAACUUCAUUCACACCUAAUAAGUCAAAUGUAUUGAUAAAAAUUAAUUUUUAUAAAACCCAUGACCACAGGGUUAAAAGACAUGCGCUCCACCAACUGUGAUAGGCGGGCUAAUAAGUCAAAUGUAUUGAUAAAAAUUAAUUUUUAUAUUAAUUUAUUAAAAUAAUUUAAAAACAUUUAAAACUAAAAAAAAAAUUAAAAACACAUUUACAUUAUAAUAUUAAACAAGUUCCUUGAUCAUACAUGGUUGAAAUGUGGGCAAUUAAGCAAUGCCCGAGCCCGAGCCAGGUUCGAUGAAAUUCCUUAUAGAAGCUUACGGUAUUGAGAAUGGCUUCUUUUGUCUUUUAUGUAGCUCACGUGCAAUGAAGUAAAAUAAAUUUGGUUAAAAUAUUGUUUAUUUAUAAAUAUAUUAAAAUAAUAUUUUUUACAACUGCAAGCACAAUAAAGCAAAAGCUUUGGGUUUUUUUAGUGAUGCCCGAAUGCGGUUCGAUGAAAUUCCUCACAGAAAUAUAUAAUUACUGAGCGUUUGCAAAAACUGCAUUGCGGUUGCUGUGUGUCAACUGUCAAGGCAAUACUUUAUUAAUGGGCUUUGAUUUCCAUGGGAUAGAAAAGGAUAAAUUUUUGUAUCUUGUAUUUGUUCGAGUCGGAACCUUCCAAAUAAAAGGAAGACCAAUAAGUCAAGAAAAAAUUAUGUCAAGAGUUAAGUUUAGCCAAAUUUUCCCACGUCAUUAGUACUCUAAUGUAUUCUGAUAUUCGAGGCUUGAAUUUUCCUCACGCAUUGUAUUUUGGUUUCAUUUGCCGUGAAGCUAAUAUAUAACAUCUUCAAGAGUGAAGCUAUUUGAAUGAUCAUGUCUAAAAUGGAGAUUCCAGGCUUGAGUUCAAACAUACUGUAUUCACUUUUCUUGCUAAUAAUUCAAUUCUCUAUUGCUUCAUGUUUACUCGUAGGAAAUGAGACUGAUAGACUCUCCCUGUUAGCCUUUAAGACUCAAAUUAGUGAUCCCCUUGGAAAAUUGAGCUCAUGGAAUGAAUCAUUACACUUCUGUGAAUGGUCAGGAGUUAUCUGUGGAAGGAAGCAUCGGAGGGUCGUAGAGCUUGACCUGCACUCUUCCCAACUGGCAGGCAGCCUAUCUCCCCACAUCGGCAACUUGAGUUUUCUCAGGAUACUUAACCUGGAAAAAAACAGCUUCAGCUAUCUUAUUCCACAGGAGCUAGGGCGUUUGUUUCGGAUCCAGGAGUUAAGCCUUGGGAACAACACAUUCAGCGGUGAAAUCCCUGUCAACAUCUCGCGCUGCACAAAUCUCUUGAGUAUUGGAUUGGCGAGCAACAAUCUCACAGGAAAGCUUCCUGCGAAAUUUGGGUCACUGUCAAAGCUACAGGUACUUAAUUUCCAACAUAACCAUCUGUUUGGUGAGAUUCCACCUUCAUAUGGAAAUCUCUCUGAACUUCAGAUAAUUCGUGGAGUGCGGAAUAAUUUGCAAGGAGGUAUUCCCGACAGUAUUGGGCAACUAAAAAGACUAGCAGACUUUACAUUUGGUGUUAAUAGUUUGAGUGGUACGAUCCCUUCCUCCAUAUACAAUAUGUCAUCCCUUGUUCGUUUCAGUGCACCACUUAACCAACUUUAUGGGAUCCUUCCUCCUGAAUUAGGCCUAACUCUUCCAAACCUUGAUACCUUUAACAUUCUCAGCAACCAAUUUAGGGGACUAAUUCCAUCUACCCUAUCCAAUGCCUCGAAAAUUUCUGAUCUUCAACUUAGAAACAACAGCUUCACUGGAAAAGUGCCUUCUUUAGCAGGCCUGCAUAAUCUACAGAGACUGGUACUUAAUUUCAAUAACCUUGGAAACAAUGAGGAUGAUGACCUGGGCUUUCUCUAUCCCCUUGCCAAUACUACCAGUUUGGAAAUCUUGGCGAUAAAUCACAACAAUUUUGGAGGGGUGCUGCCUGAAAUAGUUUGCAACUUCUCCACGAAGCUCAGAAUAAUGAUAAUAGGAGAAAAUAACCUACGUGGAAGCAUUCCAACUGAGAUUGGAAAACUCAUCGGCCUGGAUACUUUGGGCUUGGAGUUGAAUCAAUUGACUGGCAUUAUACCAAGUUCUAUUGGCAAAUUACAGCGUUUGGGUGUUUUUAAUAUCAAUGGAAAUAAAAUAUCAGGAAACAUCCCAUCUUCUCUGGGCAAUAUCACUUCCUUGCUAGAAGUUUAUUUCUUUGCAAAUAACUUACAAGGUAGAAUCCCAUCAAGUCUUGGAAAUUGCCAAAAUUUGUUGAUGUUGCGUCUCGAUCAAAACAAUUUGAGUGGUUCUAUACCAAAAGAAGUACUUGGAAUUUCAUCAUUGUCCAUGUAUUUAGACUUAGCUGAAAAUCAGUUGAUAGGUCCCCUUCCCUCGGAAGUGGGUAAGCUGGUACAUCUUGGAGGUUUGAACGUUUACAAAAACAGGUUAUCUGGUGAAAUUCCCGGAAUUCUUAGCAGUUGUGUGAGUUUGGAGUAUUUGAAUUUGGGGGCCAACUUUUUCCAAGGGUCCAUUCCUGAGUCUUUGAGUUCCUUGAGGGCACUUCAAAUUCUCAAUCUCUCCCACAACAACUUGAGUGGAAAGAUUCCCAAGUUUUUGGCAGAAUUUAAGUUGCUGACAAGUUUGGAUCUUUCAUUUAAUAACCUUGAAGGUGAGGUGCCUGUCCAAGGAGUCUUUGCUAGGGCGAGUGGAUUUUCAAUGUUGGGAAACAAAAAACUUUGUGGAGGAAGGCCUCAGCUGAAUCUGUCCAGAUGCACAUCCAAGAAGUCAAGAAAGCUGAAAUCUUCUACCAAGAUGAAAUUGAUAAUUGCAAUUCCGUGUGGCUUUGUUGGAAUUAUCUUGCUCGUCUCUUACAUGCUUUUCUUUCUCUUGAAAGAGAAGAAAAGUAGGCCAGCUUCAGGCUCCCCAUGGGAGAGCACAUUUCAGCGAGUAGCCUACGAAGACCUGCUUCAAGCAACCAAGGGGUUCUCCCCUGCUAAUUUAAUUGGUGCGGGUAGUUUUGGAUCUGUGUAUAAGGGAAUCCUCAGAUCAGAUGGAGCAGCUGUUGCAGUGAAAGUAUUCAACCUGCUACGUGAAGGAGCAUCCAAGAGUUUCAUGGCGGAAUGUGCAGCCUUGAUAAACAUCAGGCACCGAAAUCUUGUAAAAGUUUUAACAGCGUGUUCUGGCAUUGAUUUUCAAGGUAAUGACUUUAAAGCUCUAGUUUACGAGUUCAUGGUGAACGGGAGUCUAGAAGAGUGGUUGCAUCCUGUUCAAAUAUCUGACGAGGCACACGUGAGAAGAGAUUUGAGUCUCCUUCAGCGGUUGAACAUCGCAAUUGACGUGGCUAGUGCACUCGAUUAUUUACACAACCAUUGCCAGAUUGCCGUUGCUCAUUGCGAUCUGAAGCCAAGCAAUGUCCUUCUUGAUGGUGACAUGACUGCUCAUGUUGGUGACUUUGGAUUAGCAAGGCUCCUCCCACAAGCUUCCCAUCAGCUCUGUUUGGAUCAGACAAGCUCCAUUGGUUUAAAAGGCACCAUUGGCUAUGCAGCCCCGGGUAAUAUUAGAAUAAUCCUUCCAUUAUUUACCUUUCAGUUUACAAUCUUGGUCUGACUUCAUUUGAUUUACAUUGAAAGGUUCAAUUUCUCUGCAUUAUAUAUGUAUAUCUAGAGCAUGGAUUUCCUUCUAAAGACCUACUGACCAUUUCUAUGUUACAUUAAGUUUGGAAUGUUCAACUAAAUAUUUGAUUUCUUACUGUGCAUUUCACUAGUAUUUGCAACCAUUUUAUCUGAAGUGCAGAGUAUGGCCUUGGAAGCGAGGUGUCGCCUUAUGGGGACGUGUACAGCUAUGGCAUCCUAUUAUUGGAGGUGUUUACCGGAAGGAGACCUACGAAUGGCUUGUUUAAAGACGGGCUGAACCUUCAUAACUUUGCUAAAACGGCUUUGCCAAUCUCUGUGGCCGAAGUGUUGGACCCAGUACUUGUAACAGAAGCUGAGGAAACGAGUGGCGAUGCCUCUCGUAGGAUGAGCCAUAUUGGAAAUCAUAUGGAGUGUCUUGCUGCUAUUGUCAAGGUUGGAGUGGCUUGUUCUGCAGAAUUCCCAAGAGAACGCAUGGAAAUUAGCAGUGUUGCAGUUGAACUGCGUCGAAUCAGGCACAUUCUUCUGGGACCUCAGACUCAUGGGGAGCGCUAAAUUAUUGCUGCACCAGAAGGUAAAUUUCCAUCACUUGAUUAGUACCUGGACAAAUAGAAAGGAUGGCAGUCAGGAGGCAACCCUGUACUGCACAUUCUCGUUUCUGAGAGCUUCGUGUUACACGCACAAAAUACAAGCAUAUAUGGGCAUGUCUAUCUCUUACAAGCUGGAUUUUCUGCUUACACAGCCUAAAUAAGUUGCAAGUAUCUAAGAGAACAUUUACAGAUGGUCCAUUAAUUUGUCAGUAUUAACUAUGCCAAGAAAUAAUUAAUGUAUUGCAGGUCUGUGAUCAGGAGAUCAGAGUGGCAAUGAAAUACUAGAGGAUCCAAAGGAGAAUAGAUGCCAACAUCUAAAUGGUAGAAGAAUUGGAAUAAGACUUCCCUCGUGUUGUCACAUGAACUUGUUUUAAGUUUCAAUAUGUCAAUGCCUGCUUUCAGUUUAGAGUGCCUUGCUGGUAUGGUAGUCUUUCCAGUUAUGUUCACUGCAUAUUUGUAGACGAAUAUAAGUAUUUCGAUGAAUUCAAGGAUGGAAUAUCUAGUGAUUGAUACCACUUUUUAGUUUGAAUCAUCUAGCAAUAGCAGCAGGAGAUGGAUUUAAAAAUUACAAGACGACGUCAUCAUCAAAUAAAUGGUUUUUCAACCUUAUACUAAAACAAUAUGAGCACAUAACUGAUGGCGGCCCGAAACUUGCAGUAUCAACAGCCCAGCCGAAAACAUGCCGAGGUAAGAAAAUAAGAAACACGAAACCCACUUCUGAAAAAACCUCAAAAUCACCCGUCUUUCUAUCAAUUUGACAAAUUGGUCCCAUGUAAAAACAGUUUGGUCGAAAUUUAGCUCGUGUUUAUAAAAAUAAACCAACUGGACUAAACUGCAUUAAAUUGGGAAAUUUAUACCAAUUAAAAUUUAUGAAUAUUUUUAAUAAAUUGAAAAUAUCCGUUUCUCAAGAAAAUAAAAAUUCGUGAAAUUUUUUAUUAAAAUUUAGCAUCAUUAUCACUCGCCCUGCAGGAUUUAGUUUUAAAUUUUUUAUUUUGACACGAACAAGAGGACCAGUCGGGGCCUAAAGAUGCAGCUACGCAUUAGCCAAUUGUUUGAAGCUGCGAUGUUGAGUGGAGAAUUUGAGCAUAUAAUAAGCUUUUAUUUAGUUUAAAUCCAACCGCAAUUGCCUAUUGCUAUGAUUGUGAGGUUGAAUGAGUUCUGAGUGGAAGCAUGCAUAAAAUAGUCUCCUCUAUUUUCAAUUUUUUUUUUUUUUAAGUGAUGAGAGGCUGAAUUGAUGGCUAAUAGUAUGUUUGAGGUAUUAUAGAUUUUGUUUUUUAAAGUGUUAUUUUGUUUGGAAAUGUAUUAAAAUAAUUUUUUUUAUUUUUAAAAAAUUUAUUUUUGAUACAACUUAAAUAUAUAAAAAAAAAUUAAUAAUUUAAAACUAAAAAAAUAAAUUAAAUACACGGCUGGACUGAGCGCUACAGGGCCUAAGAAGGAAUGCUCUGUUUAUUUACCUUUUAGAUUUAAAUUUUAGGGUUAACAUGUGGGGAAAUUUAUUACUUUUCUCAUAAUUCACUAGACUGAUAUGGAAAGAUUCAUCCUUGAAAUUGUUCAGAAAGGACUUAUUCUCGUCGGUUGAUGCGCAAGCUAAUCUGAUGAGAUCCCUUAUCAUCAAAUUGAAAAAAAAAUAAAAAAAUUUGAAGAAAUUCAAUCAUGAGAAAUUUUAAAAUUGCUUCAGAGUUCUAAAAAUCAGUUCCAUCGGCCUAAAAGGCACCGUUGGUUAUGCAGCCCCAGGUAAAAUCCGAAGAAUGCCCAUUUUUCAUUGUUAAUAUUUGUUUAUCAAAUUCCUUUCAAAUGGUAAAUUUGUUCAUUUUAUCGGUAAUUAUAUUUUCAGCAUCGGAGCUUUUGUUUUCACUCUAUCAGGAACAUCGGAGCUUUUGUUUUCACUCUAUCAGGAACAUCGGAGCUUUUGUCUUUGAAUCUCUCAGAAUUAUCGAAUCCACGACUUUCACUGCAUGGCUAGACAACACAGCUUUAACAUAGAUAUGAAGAUUCAGCCCGUCUUUAAACAUGUCCUUUUCCUCUAAACAUCUCCGACAAUAGCACGCUGUAGCCGUAGACAUCACCAUAAGUUGAAAUCUCACUUGCCAUACCGUAUUCUUCAUGUCAUAUGCCAACACAGUUUUUUUUACAGCAUUACGAGGGCGUUUGGCUUUUGAUUAAAUCAAGAUUUUCAUUAAAUUUUGUAAUAAGCUCCUGGUCUAAAUCGAAAGUUGUUUCAAACCAAAAAUAUUUAUGACUUUUCUAUAAAUAAAGAUCUAAAACAAAAACUGGAAUUAAUUUGUUAAGAUCAUACUAAACAGAAUCAAAUUAUUAAUGAUAUAACCAUUUGUCUCGAACUCAAUUCCAAGAACUCUCUCAAAUGACUUUAAGGUUAUGCUGUUUGUUGAAGCAUUAAGAGAUGGGCUUUGUUUGAUUUAACGGGCAUUAGAAGUUUAUUUGAGCAGGCUUUGUUAGCUUAUGGGCCCUCUAGAUUUGUUUCCUUUGUUCUCUGCAAGUCCAUUUCUGUCCACCCGCCCUUUUUUUGCUUGCCUUCUGUCUUAUAGCACGGCUUUUGAGCGUGGUUCUCAACCGUGAUUCUGCCGGUAAGCAUUCACCCUCCUCCCAUGUAAUUUACAAGAAUACAUCAACCCAACUUCCUCAGACUCAGCAGUAUUAAUUUAAUCCAAAUCUAAUAGCUAUUGGUUCAAAUAAUUUGAAUGCACGGUUUCUUUUUUGGGAUAGUUAUUUUAUUUAAUAUGUAAUUUAUAAGGUAUGGAUAUUAACAAAUUUAAUUUAUACUGAAACAAUAUGAGCACAUAACUGAUGGCGGCCCGAACCUUGCAGUAUGAACAGCCCAGCCGAAAACACGCCGAGGUAAGAAAAUAAGAAACACUAAACCCACUUCUGAAAAAACCUCAAAAUCACCCGUCUUUCUAUUAAUUUGACAAAUUGGUCCCACGUAAAAACAGUUUGGUCAAAAUUUAGCUCGUGUUUAUAAAAAUUAGUUAAUCAAACCAAUUGGACUACACUGCAUUAAAUUGGGAAAUUUAUACCAAUUAAAAUUUAUGAAUAUUUUUAAUAAAUUGAAAAUAUCCGUUUCUCAAGAAAAUAAAAAUUCGUGAAAUUUUUUAUUAAAAUUUAGCAUCAUUAUCACUCGCCCUGCAGGAUUUAGUUUUAAAUUUUUUAUUUUGACACGAACAAGAGGACCAGUCGGGUCCUAAAGAUGCAGCUACGCAUUCGCCAAUUAUUUCAAGCUGCAAUGAUGAGUGGAGAAUUUGAGCAUAUAAUAAGCUUUUAUUUAGUUUAAAUCCAACCGCAAUUGCCCAUUGCUAUGAUUGUGAGGUUGAAUGAGUUCUGAGUGGAAACAUGCAUAAAAUAGUCUCCUCUAUUUUCAUUUUGUUUUUUGUUUUUAUGUUCAGCUAAUUUCUAGGCAUGAACAUUAAUUAACAUUUGCAUCAUAUUUUCUAUGAGAGGCUGAAUUGAUGGAAAAGGGCAUGUUUGGGAGUAUUAUCUAGUAUUUUUUAUUUGAUAAAUAUUUAUUAAUAUAAUAUUUUUUAUUUUUUAAAAUUUAUUUUUAAUAUCAGCACAUCAAAAUAAUUUAAAAAUAUAAAAAAAUAAUUUAAAGUUAAAAAAAUAUUAAAUACACGGUUAAGCCAUAGUGCUAAUCAGGGCAUAAAAAGAAAUGCUCUGUUUUUUUACCUUUUAGAUAUAAAUUUUAGUGUUAGUAUGUGGAGAAAUUGACUACUUUUCUCUUAAUCCACCAUAUUGAUAUGGAAAUAAUCAUCCUUAUAAUUAUUCAGAAAGGACUUAUUCUCGUCGGUUGAUGCGCAAGCUAAUAUGAUGAGACCCCUUAAUUAUCAUCAAAUUAAAAAAAAUUAACUAAAUUUGAAGAAAUUCAAUCAUAAGAAAUUUUAAAAUUAUUUAAGAGUUUUAAAAAUCAGUUCCAUUCGGCCUAAAAGGCACCGUUGGUUAUGUAACAUCCGAAGAAUGCCCAUUUUUCAUUGCUAAUAUUUGUUUAUCAAAUUCCUUUCAAAUGGUCAAUUUGUUCAUUUCAUUGGUAAUUUUUUUCUCCACCACUUUGAUAGCAAAUAAUAAUUAAAAAAUCUGUUGGCAAGAAAGGGUGAUGAAAUGACUGAGUGUAUUGCCAACCAUUGCAUUACAACGAGUUCUCUCUUACGCCAGGCGCCAGUCCUUGUGCAAACACAAACAUGCGAGCAGGAAAGCGUUUCCAAGAUUCAAGUAGUUCUCUUCUCUCUUCUGCUACACAUGUGAAGAUAUUGGCACCAGUAGUGCUCCCUUUUGAACACCAACUUCCAUUUGUUACCUUGGUGAACUCACACCCAUGUAGUGCAUAAUACCGAACCUAGUAUAUUUAUGUUCAGCCAUGUACUGAUCUCAAUAUACUAUACUGUGGAUCUGGCAAGUUGUUAAACUUUUUAUUCUGGAAUUUAAUUAUGAGCUAAGCCUAAGCUAUCGUGAGUCUAAUGAACUACAAUACUUAUUUCCUCUAGGUUUAGCUAUGCGACAUACUUAGUUAGUCUUAGAGAUUCAUGUUAUGACUACAAGGGUUCUAUCUUAAGAUGAUUGACAUGAUCUUUUCAUGUCAUAAAUAAUUAUUUUCUUAUACCUGUAUUUUGUAUAAAAAUUCUUCCAAUAGCUUAUCAUAUUUCUAUCUUAUUAAUGUUCAUAAAUGAUUUGUAGUGGAUAUUUAUUAUUUAUUAAUGACAUGCAAGAGAUAUUUGUCUCUUGUUAAUGUCAUUAAAUGAAAAUAACUCUUUUGUCUCUCCACUCCACCAAAACGACAAGGUUCAAAGAGUAUAAAUACCUCUUGAACUAUCCAAGUAAAAGAUUUAUUUUUUUCUACUCUCCAGGCUUAUAUAUCUUAAUUCUUAGAGCAUUAAUAACACAAGAACAAGAUUAAACACCUUUAUUUUGAGUAUAUUGAAUUCUAGUACAUCAUUACUAUCAAUACAUGCAUAAGCUUUUCCAUUAAAGGCUUACUCAUUGGCGGUUGAAAAGGAGAAAUUGAACGAUUUAUGUUUUGUUUUGCCUGGUCCCAAACAAGUAAGAUUAUUGGAGGGUGAAAAGGAGGCUAUUCCUUCAUUUUCUUUGAAACCUAACAUUUUCUCAAACCAAUUAAAUUGCACGGGACUUGGCAUCAUAUAGUGAUGCAGGUCAGUAGGUGGCUCAGAAAAGCCUUUAUAGUUCUGAACAAUUAGUCUGUGGAUGUGGGUUUGUUAUCUAUAGAUCAUAAAAAAAAAUCCUAGCAGACUUGUUUAUGGAUCGAUAUAACAGAGUUAAGUAAAAAAAAUAUAUGUUCACUUCAGACCAACAAAUUAACAUAAAAAUGACAUAAUUUUCUAUUCAACCGAUAGAUUAGACUUAGUUUUUAUUAAAUGAUUCUAUAAUCUCAGUUUUAUAGGAGGCCCGUCUAACUGUAACUAGCCAUGGAAGACCCUUAAAUUUCUCCCUUUCAAGAACUCACUCGUGGCUCUCUCUGUCACCUUUUUCUUCAAUUCAAAAUAUCUCUCUCGAAACCGAACCUUUCUGCAUAGCAUUGCUUAAUCAAAACAAAAAAAUAUCUUUGGCUUUCAACUUGGUACCCCCCUACCGUCGCCUUUCAUUGUUGUGUGGUCAAAAUGUGGGUAUUUGAGUAAUGCUCGAAUCCUUUUCGAUGAAAUUCCUCACAGAAUAUUUCAACAGGGCGUGUCCAAAUCACACUGCGGUGGUUGUCUCUUAAGGUCAAUGAUUUCUACAAUCAAAAGAUUUUUGAUGCAGAGAUUUUUCCUACGCAAUGAACCCCACAAUUGAAAAGAAGAUUAGAAAAGGAGGAUGUGAGUUAUAGCAGUAAUAAUUCAACAUUUGCAUUUUGACUUUGAUUAUAAGCUUAAUUGUUAAGGUAAAUAUCUUGUGUGCAAUUAUUUUAGAAUACAACUAGAUAGGUGACACGCGCUGUAUCGUAGGCCUACCUAAUUUUUUUAACAUAAAAAAAGAUGUUAAGGGAAUAGAAACAUUCCUAGAAACACAAAAAAAAUAUAAGAUCUAAGUCAUUAACUCGACUGGAUUUAAGAGCUUGGCUAAUUUAAUAAUACGAAUAAAAAAAUUAUAACGACAUUAAAUAAACUAAAAAAAAAGGCUAAGAAAACUUGAUGAGCCUAUACGGAUUAACAUGUAAAAUAUGUAACCUUUUGUGAUAUCAAGACAACCCAGUUGAAAGCAAAUUGAAUAAAACUAUGAAUCUUCAUUAUCAAAUAACUCAAUAUUGAAGAGCGAGAUAAUCCCUAUCAUUUUUAAAAUUAAUAAAAAAUCAUAUAGAAAGAAAAUUAAAAAAAUAACGAAACUCAAUUAAUCUCCAAAUAAAUAAAUGUUAAAUAAUGAAACUAAAAAAACAUGCGCUUAAAAAAAGAAAAAGAAAACUAAGCAAACCCGGACGAUUUUCUAAAUUUAGAUUAAUCUCUCAAACUCGCAACCUAUGAAAUCUUAGACCUGUGAUUAAUCAAGAAUUUAAAUUCUCAACCAAUUUAAUAUUAAAUGAUGAAAUCAGGAAAAAUAUUAAUUUAAUAAAAUUUCCAAAGUAAAAAAAAAUACAAUAAAAGAACGAGGAUCAAAUCUAAUAGGAAAAAAAAUCUAAAGGAAGAUGAAAUCAUAAAAAAAAAUCAAUUUUAAAUAUCAUCUCAGAGCAAUGAAGACCAAAUCUAAUAGAUGAAAAAACUAGAUGAUGAAACUGAAAGAAAAUUUUAAUUUUAUAAGUUAUUUCAAAUAAAAUAAAUAGUAAUAAAAUAAACAUGAAUCAAAUACGAAGGAAAAACAAAUUGGAGGGCUACUUUGAAAAUUUAAAGGGUCAGACACGAAAAUCAAAGAGGAGAAAAAAAAAAUAUAAAAAGGUUGUCGGCACAAAACCGAAGAUUCGUUGACUACACGCAUCGCCUAAGAAUGAAGGGACCACCAAAACGAUUCAAAUGCCGCCCUAGAAGCAAUUGUUUGAGCAUGAACCACCCCUAACACACUUCCUAUAUAGUGCAGCCUCAACCUACUUGUUGACGCGUGCAUUGCAUGUGUUAGUCACCUUUCUUCAAAUAAUAUAUAUAUUUAUUCUAUUACUAAAAUGUUCCUCAAUCAACUUGAUUAUUAUCAAAAAAACAUGUUUAAAAGACAAAAAAACUCUUAGAUCCCAGUUCAAAAAACUUUGCUUUUAAGAGUGAUUAUAUCAUUUUAUUGUGCUGAUAAAAUGUGAAAAGACCCCUAUGCCCUUGUUCAAUUUGAAAAUGACUAAUGUAAUGAGUCAUGAGGUAAAGACCAUAUUUAUAUUCAUGUCUAGAAUGUAGCUACCACGCAUGACUUUUCGCAUAAUGUGUUCAGUUUUCUUGCGAAUGAUUCAAUCCUUCUGAAAAGUGCAUUUGCAUCGACUUUUUGUUCUAUAAUGAUAAGAUCUAAGGACUUUGUGGGCUCAAAAUUCUCCAUCAAACGUUUGCUCAUGCUUGCGGAUUUAACCCGUUGCCUGAAGUCAAUCUUAGCAUUACAUCCAUCCUUUUCCUCUGUAUUUGUAUCAAUAGCUCAGCACUGCCAACCAAAUGUUUCUCAAUACUAAAGCUCUAAGUUUGCAUUAAAAAAUGGAGCUGCCAGGAAUGAGUUCAUGCAUAUUGUGGCUGCUUUUUUUGCAAAUAAUACAACUCCCCAUUCCUUUCUCAUUACCUACGGGAGGAAACGAGACAGAUAGACUGUCCCUGCUUGCUCUUAAGAGUCAAAUUACAAACGAUCCCUUUGGUAUGCUGAGCUCCUGGAAUGAAUCCUUGCACUUCUGCGAUUGGUCAGGAGUUAUAUGUGGAAAGAGGCAUCGGAGAGUCGUAGAGAUUGACCUACACUCUGCCCAACUGGUGGGCAGCCUAUCUCCACACAUUGGCAACUUGAGUUUUCUCAGGAUACUGAAACUGGAAAACAACAGGUUCAGCCAUAACAUCCCACAGGAACUGGGUCAUUUGUUUCGCCUACGGAUGCUGAGCCUUGAGAACAAUACAUUCGAUGGCAAAAUCCCAGUCAACAUUUCGCAUUGCUCAAACCUCUUGAUCCUCUCUUUGUCGGGCAAUAAUCUUACUGGCAAACUUCCUAUAGAACUUGGAUCGUUAUCAAAGCUGCAGGUUUUUUUUUUUCAAUUUAACUAUCUGGUUGGCGGGAUACCAUCUUCUUUUGGAAAUUUAUCAGCUAUUAUACAAAUUUUUGGGGCGGGGAAUUAUUUGCAAGGAGGAAUCCCCAAUAGCAUUGGCCAAUUGAAAAGUUUAAAAUCGUUCUCUUUUGGUCGAAAUAAUAUGACUGGUAUGAUCCCUCCCUCUAUAUACAAUCUUUCUUCUCUCAUGCGAUUUGCGGUGCCAGUGAACCAACUUCAUGGGAAUCUUCCUCCUGACUUAGGCCUAACUCUUCCAAACCUUGAAAUUCUUCUAAUGUCUUUCAACCGUUUCAGUGGGUCAAUUCCACCAACGUUCUCCAAUGCCUCGACUAUUGCUGUUAUUGAACUCUCAAACAACAAUCUCACUGGGAGAGUUCCCGAUUUAUCAAGCCUGAGUAAGCUGCGAUGGCUGAUAGUUGAUGUAAAUUAUCUUGGAAAUGGUAAUGAUGAUGACCUAAGUUUUCUCCCUCCCCUGGCAAACAAGACCAGUUUGGAAGAAUUGUCUAUAAAUGAUAACAAUUUCGGAGGGUUGCUGCCUAAAAUAAUUAGCAACUUCUCAGAAAACCUGAAGAGAAUGACAUUCGGAAGAAACCAAAUACGUGGAAGUAUUCCAAGUGGUAUAGGAAAUCUCAUUGGCCUGGAUACUUUGGGUUUGGAGAUGAAUCAGUUGACUGGUGUUAUUCCAAAUUCUAUUGGUAAAUUACAAAACUUGGGUGUACUGGCUCUUGGUGGAAACAAAAUCUCAGGGAACAUUCCAUCUUCUAUGGGCAAUAUCACUUCCUUGCUCGAAGUUUAUUUAUCUGCAAAUAACUUACAAGGUAGAAUCCCAUCAAGUCUUGGAAAUUGCCAAAAUUUGUUGAUAUUGCAUCUUGAUCAAAACAAUUUGAGUGGCUCCAUACCAAAAGAAGUAAUUAGUAUUCCAUCCUCAUCAAGAAUUUUAGUUCUAUCUGAAAACCAGUUGACAGGUUCCCUUCCCCUGGAAGUGGGUAAGUUGGCGAAUCUUGGAUAUUUCAAUCUUUCUCAUAACAGGUUAUCUGGUGAGAUCCCCAGAACACUUGGAAGCUGUGUGAGUUUGGAGUUUUUGUAUAUGGAGGGGAAUCUUUUCCAAGGGCCGAUUCCUGAGUCUUUGAGUUCCUUGAGGGCCCUUCAAAUUCUCAAUCUCUCCCACAACAACUUGAGUGGAGAGAUUCCCAAGUUUUUGGCAGAAUUGAAGUUGCUGACAAGUUUGGAUCUUUCAUUUAAUAACCUUGAAGGUGAGGUACCUGUCCAAGGAAUCUUUGCUAGGGCCAGUGGAUUUUCAAUGUUGGGAAACAAAAAACUUUGUGGAGGAAUGCCUCAGCUGAAUCUGUCCAGAUGCACAUCCAAGAAGUCAAGAAAGCUGAAAUCUUCUACCAAGCUGAAAUUGAUAAUUGCAAUUCCUUGUGGCUUUGUUGGAAUUAUCUUGGUCGUCUCUUACAUGCUUUUCUUUUUCUUGAAAGAGAAGAAAAGUAGGCCAGCUUCAGGCUCCCCAUGGGAGAGCACAUUUCAGCGAGUAGCCUACGAAGACCUGCUUCAAGCAACCAAUGGGUUCUCCCCUGCUAAUUUAAUUGGUGCGGGUAGUUUUGGAUCCGUGUAUAAGGGAAUCCUCAGAUCAGAUGGAGCAGCUGUUGCAGUGAAAGUAUUCAACCUGCUACGUGAAGGAGCAUCCAAGAGUUU